rnacentral:rRNA from 1 species
UACAGAGGGGGCGAGCGUUGUUCGGAAUUACUGGGCGUAAAGGGCGCGUAGGCGGCCAACUAAGUCGGACGUGAAAUCCCCUGGCUCAACCAGGGAACUGCGCCCGAUACUGAUUGGCUUGAAUCCGGGAGAGGGAUGUGGAAUUCCAGGUGUAGCGGUGAAAUGCGUAGAUAUCUGGAGGAACACCGGUGGCGAAGGCGGCAUCCUGGACCGGUAUUGACGCUGAGGCGCGAAAGCCAGGGGAGCAAACGGG